GAUGAACGCUGGCGGCGUGCCUAAUACAUGCAAGUAGAACGCUGAAGGAGGAGCUUGCUCUUCUGGAUGAGUUGCGAACGGGUGAGUAACGCGUAGGUAACCUGCCUGGUAGCGGGGGAUAACUAUUGGAAACGAUAGCUAAUACCGCAUGACAACAGUUAUUGCAUGAUAACUGUUUAAAAGGGGCAACUGCUCCACUACCAGAUGGACCUGCGUUGUAUUAGCUAGUUGGUGAGGUAACGGCUCACCAAGGCGACGAUACAUAGCCGACCUGAGAGGGGGGUCGGCCACAAUGGGACUGAGACACGGCCCAGACUCCUAAGGGAGGCAGCAGUAGGGAAUCUUCGGCAAUGGACGGAAGUCUGGCCGGGCAACGCCGCGUGAGUGAAGAAGGUUUUCGGAUCGUAAAGCUCUGUUGUAAGGGAAGAACGAGUGUGAGAGUGGAAAGUUCACACUGUGACGGUAUCUUACCAGAAAGGGACGGCUAACUACGUG
rnacentral:rRNA from 1 species